AGUGGGAGAUAGAAUGAUCAAGAAGUCAUCAAGAACAACUUUAUGCUAAACUAAAGCAACUGAUCUAAGGCAAGAUGUAACUUCAGGAUACUGGUGCCCUGAUACAUAUACUCCCCAUGCAUGAAGGUUGGAUGAGUCAAUGCAGAGCAGACACUGGAAAAAGGAGUCAGAACCAGUGGAUCCAUAAACUACCAGCUUUGCCAAAGAUGAAAGAACAGACCACACUGUAG
rnacentral:lncRNA from 1 species